rnacentral:tRNA from 1 species
GUCAGGUUGGCCGAGCGUUUUAAGGCGCCAGACUCAAGUUCUGGUCCAUAAUGGUGGACGUGGGUUCGAAUCCCACACCUGACA